AGUCUCUCUAAGUCCCUAAUGGCUGCUUCUGUGUUGAUUGGCUAUGACUCCAGUUUGAACUCCUGAUUUUCUUCGACUCCAUAGUUUCUUCACAGGCACAACCAUAAAACUACAUUUAGUUCAGCCUUCAAAGCAUUCAUUUCCUACAUCACACAAAUGUCAAAAGCAUGAAUAUUUUAAAGUGACAUCAGCUGGUUUCCUGAAGUCUACAAGUAAUCAGCACAGAGCAAAGAAUGCUUCACAUGAACAAGAGGCCAGAGAGCAAAAAACAAUGCAAAUGAGUUUAUAAGAGUAAAGGUAAUGAAAACAGACUUCAAGUGAUGGAGACUCUAGUUUGUU